AUUGAACGCUGGCGGCGUGCCUAAUACAUGCAAGUCGAGCGAAGCGGCGGAUGGGUGAGUAACGCGUGGGUAACCUGCCCUUAAGUCUGGGAUACCAUUUGGAAACAGAUGCUACUACCGGAUACUAAAGGAUGGACCUGCGAUGCUUUAGCUAGUUGGUAAGGUAACGGCUUACCAAGGCGAUGAGGCAUAGCGGGGUGGAUAGACUGAUCGGCCACACUGGGACUAAGACACGGCCCAAACUCCGACGGGAGGCAGCAGUAGGGAAUCUUCAACAAUGGACGAAAGUCUGAUGGAGCAACGCCGAUUGUGUGAAGAAGGUUUUCGGAUCGUAAAGCGCUGUUGUUGGUGAAGCGGUAAUCAACCAGAAAGUCACGGCUAACUACGUGCCAGCGGCCGCGGUAAUAC
rnacentral:rRNA from 1 species